rnacentral:lncRNA from 1 species
AAAAAUCUGGACUAAAAAUAAGGUGUAUAUAGGAACCGUUUUCAAUUUGGUAGCGGGCAUGACAUAAAACAGUGAAUCAAAGAAUUCAACUUUAUUUAUAACUAACAUAGGACAAUGCUGUUGAUUAAAAAAUACUCCAUUCCAGGACCUUUUGUUAUCCAAAUAAUUAAUAUUACCAAUAAUUGAUAAGUUCCAGUUCGACGGGUUCAAACAGAAAGAUUUGAAAGCAGAGAAAACUGUGUAUCUU